UACCAGUUUGAUUCUAGCUGAGAACUUAGCUCCAUUGAACCAAUAUACAUGUAAGGCCUCACGCUCCCGCACUUAUUUUACCCUAAAAGAAUAUAUUAUUACAUCAAGAUUUCUAUACGUAAUAGCGCGCCACAGUAAGCAAUUCUGCAAUUUCUGUAAAAACAGGAGUCGGGUAUCAAUUUAAGAGUUGGCAAAAUUCGUGCCAGCCGCCGCGGUUAGACGAUAAACUCAAGCUAACUAAGAUAGACUAAAUGCAAGGUGUUUUAAACAGUAAUUAAGGUCUAAUUUCACAACCUGAGAUCCUAAUACACCAGAAUAAUCACGAAAUCAUGAAUUAAAACACGGAUUAGAUACCCGUCUAUUCAUGAAAUAAAUAAAGUCGAAAAAUACGAACUACAGUUUAAAACUUAAAGAUUUUGGCGGUGCCUUAUCAAACCAGGGGAACCUGUCUCAUAACUCGAUAAUCCACGACCAUCUUACCCCUUCUAGAUUAAUCAGCUUGUGUACUGCCGUCGUAAGCACACCUCUAAAAGCAACUCAGUAUGCAAAUAUGACUAACCCUCAUUUACGUCAGGUCAAAGUGCAGCUAAUGAUGGGGUGAUGAUGGGUUACACCCUAAACACAGACACGAAAUAUAGUCUCAAAAACUAUGUAAAGGUGGACUUGGAUGUAAUUAUAAUCCAAAAUUACAAUGAAAUUGAAUCUAAGGCAUGCACACAUCGCCCGUCACUCUCGCCCAAAGGCGAGAUAAGUCGUAACAAAGUAGGUGUAACGGAAGUUGCACCUGU
rnacentral:ncRNA from 1 species